AAGUACCUCAUGUAGGCAGGGAAAUCCGAAAACUACUGUGGGAACAAUAGUAAAAAAAAGAGCAUGGCUGUGGCAUGAAGAUGCUUACAGUCUGGACAGGCUAGGACAGAACUGUUUGGAUUAUGGAGUAGAUGUCUUCAGUUUCCUGUCUACAGCCUUCAGAUCUUAUCACUUCUGUGUCCACUGGUCUAUUUUCAGUUGCAAGUAUCUGCAUCACUUUGCUGGAGAAUGUUCUCCAAAGCUGCUGAUGUCCUUUCUGCUUCACUGCCCAUGUAUAUGGUGAUCUGAAAAUGACAGGAAAAUAAUGCCCAUAAAGAAAAGCCUCAAUCAAUGAUUGAAGGAAUUGGUAUGUGAUAAAUGUCUUGCUCCUCAGUUGGGGUAACGCUUGAGCAGGUGUUUUAUACUGUCUCCUAGAGUUCUUCAGCAAAAUUGAUUUUUCAAUAAACUCACAAAGGUUAUUUGCCA